GGACGAACGCUGGCGGCGUGCUUACCCCAUGCAAGUCGAACGGAAAGGCCCUGCUUUUGUGGGGUGCUCGAGUGGCGAACGGGUGAGUAACACUUGAGUAACCUGCCCUUGACUUUGGGAUAACUUCAGGAAACUGGGGCUAAUACCGGAUAGGAGCUCCUGUUGCAUGGUGGGGGGUGGAAAGUUUCGUCGGUUGGGGAUGGACUCGCGGCUUCUCAGCUUGCUGGUGGGGUAGUGGCUUACCAAGGCUUUGACGGGUAGCCGGCCUGAGAGGGUGACCGGCCUCAUUGGGACUGAGAUACGGCCCAGACUCCUACGGGAGGCAGCAGUGGGGAAUAUUGCACAAUGGGCGGAAGCCUGAUGCAGCAACGCCGCGUGCGGGAUGACGGCCUUCGGGUUGUAAACCGCUUUCGCCUGUGACGAAGCGUGAGUGACGGUAAUGGGUAAAGAAGCACCGGCUAACUACGUG
rnacentral:rRNA from 1 species